AUAGAGGAAAUGUAACCUUCUAUAGAAGAUUGAUUGGAGGAGUAACUUUGCAAACCUUUCUACUCUUAAUAAUUUGGAGGAAAAAGGGAAGAAAAACAGCCAUACAAAGUAAAGGAAAAGGCAGUCAACCUGAUGUCUCUGAGGGACUCUCAUCAUAUUCUGUUCUCUAUUGUUCCCCUCAAUUGGCUGUUGAGACACGUUGCUCCGAACUGCAGCUUUUCUUGCCACAGAAGUGAAUUGCUGAAGAUACUGAAAACUGUUAGGCUACAUGGAAGAGGAGAGAGAUCUCUCACUUGGAGAAAGGGAAGCCUCUGCCAAAGCUCUGGGAAAGAAGCUGGUAAAAUGUCUCCAAUGGUUAUGUGUACAGAAACAAUACCACUCAUGUUCAAUAAAGCCAAUAUAGACUAAUGAUUACUGUAUUACACUAGAUCUAGGAAGACAUAGUUCAAGUCCACCCAGAGCCAUGGAAGUUCCCCUGGUGACUUUGGGCCAGACACUCUCUCUCAUCACAGUCUAUCUUAGACUGUUGUAGGGGAAAAGAGAAAAGAGUGAGUGCCUUGAAUGUCUUGAGUCCCUGGACAAAAAGUGAGAUUCAAAUUGAAUCAACGAAUAACAGUUCCCUUCAAAACAUGCCCCUAUUUAAGUAUUUGAUAAAACAUUAAGGGCACCUCCUUCCUCAGAAGUCUGUUUCCUGCUUUCUGUCACAUUAGAAGCAGGUCAAAGAAGAGAUGCUGUAAACAAAGGCAAUAUUUGUCAGAGAUUAGAUCUCAAAUUUUGUUCUUCUGAGAUUUUUUUUCAAUGAGAGAACAUACAACAGGUUGCAUUUACAAAUAAUACAUGACAAAGCAUUGAUCUGCCUAUUUAUUCUCCAUACCUUAUUUAGCAAAAAUACUUUGUCUCUCUCAAGCACAUCAUUUUCUUUUGAACCAAAGCACAAUUCUGAUACAAAGGCCAACAAAUUUCCAUAUAUCAAUGCUAAUUCACUUGUCAUAAUUGGAUAAGUCAUCACAUUGGGAAAACUAUGUAGCUGGGUGGGUAAUGCAACUCUUAAGCUUUUACAAUAGUCAAAGAUGAAACAUAUCAAUUAAUUAAUGUUAUUUGUUCCCCUUUUACACUCUGCUGUCACAUUAUAACACAGAUCUUCCAUCUGCCAUGUCUCAGCCACACAUGUCUCCCCUUUCUUAAAUAAUUCUCUAUAGUCUGCCUUGCUGUUACUAAUGCUUACAAUUCUCUUUGAGAUUAAACUCUCUCUCUCCCCCUUUAUAAUCAAUGCCUUCCAAUGAUGCCUCUGGAUUACUACUUUGUCCCUUAUCAGUUCUGAAAUUCACCCCAAGUACAAGGUUAUUUGUCUACUCCUACUCCAAUGUUCUCUUUUUUCCUAUAUUAACUUUCUCCUUUACAGUUUAGAGACAGUAAGCCCCUAAUUUUUUAAAAAAUUCUGUUUCUGAAUUUCUCAUUCAUAAAGUGAACACAUAAAUAAUACAAAAUAGUUUUGGGGUUUUAUUUAUAGCAGUUCCACCCCCCCUUUUUUUCCUUUUUAAAAUCUACAUAUUCCAGUUUAUUUAGAAUAAAUUUCUUUCCUUCUGACAUCAUUUUCGUAGAGACAACAACAGUUUUCAUUCUAGUUUUUUAAGAAGGGCAUUGAUUCAGUUACACAUGUAGAAUCCCACUCAGUUACCUUGCUCAUUUAAACCGUCACAGCUUUUGAGUCCUGUUUCUAAGCACAUUAUUAUUAGGAUCCUGCAUCCUCCAUGAAAGUGACAUUCAGUGAGCUAUCUCAGAUACCAAAUACCGCCUCCUGGAAGAAUCUUUCAAAACAUCUUAUAAGUCACACAAUGCAAAAUACCUGAAAUGAACAAGGGUAAUUAUGCUAAAUGCUUGUCACUGUCAAAAUGAGGCCUGAAAGCUUUGCAAUUGCCUUGCCUUAUUCUCUGCGAGAGUUUAAACAGUGGGGCAAACAAUUUUAUAGGGAGUGGGAAUAUGUAAGCUAAAAAGCUAAUGUGCGUAUUUCUGUGUGCAUACAUUACACAUGUAUACGACAGAGUUGUGCAUUUAGUAGAUAGUUAUCGAAGUAAUAAACAAAAUAAGAUUCACAAAAUCCAGUAUUUUUUAUAUUCUAGCAAUACAUCAAAAGAAAGGGAGCAUCUAUGAAGAUAAGGGAAAACUAACAGUAUUUUUCUGCGCUCAGUUCGUAGUUUGCUUUUAUUUAUAAUAGGAAUUGAUAAUUUUUGGAUAAUUGGGGCCUAUACUUCACAUUCUGUGGGCCAAAUGAAUGGAUGAUAAUAUAGGUGAAAUCAAGAUUUCCUAACUUUUUUUCUAUUUUUUUUUUUAAAGGAUGUUGCCUUUAUUUUAUAAAUUAUAUUUAACCUCUUUUAGAGCAUAUACUUUGUUUUCUGGUUGUUUCCCACUUCAAAUUGUUAAGAAACUGUUUUUGGUUACUGUACCUGGAAGUGAUUCUGGAGGAUUCCCAAGGGAAAAAAAGAGUGGGGGCUACAUCAGGCCCUAGUAUCUCAGGCUGCCUAUAUAGUUAUCUAAUUUACAACACAGAACUUGCUACUGUUCUAUGCAUGGUGCAGUGCUGCUCUAUCUCUGGAACAGAAAAUAGAAAAGUGAUGGUCAUCAAAUGUGGUUGGCUGCCAGCUUUCACCCACCCUGGCCUAUACCCCGGCCUCAUCAGGAACAAUGCAAGUUACAGUCCAACAACAUCUAGACCACUACAGACACCCACUUUCAGCUAAGCUAAAGGAGACCGACCAAGUGGGAUAUUGCUGGUGGAUUCUAAAAGAUUGAGGAAGUCUUAGAUUCACUGAAGCAUCUCUAAGAGAUCUCUAAGGCAAGAUUAUUUGUAAACAAGGAUCUGAAGUAUAUAAAGAUUUUAAUGAAUAAUUAGAAUAAUUAAUUCAUAUUCCAGGCUUCUGCAUUAUCUAAUUUACAGUUCUCGCUCAUUCA